rnacentral:lncRNA from 1 species
AAAAAAAAUUAAAAUAUUGUGGACUUAUAUGUCAUGAUUAUAAAACUUUUGAUUUUUCUUAUUUUACAUGAACAACAAGGGCCUUUAAUGCUAGUGGCCCAAUAAUCAUCCAACGGUGGAUUUAAAAAAGACAAAAGAAGGGUUGUGGCUCAGUUGGCGGCGCAGGCUGGGUAAGUGGGAAGAGCUCUCGGGUUCGAUCCUCACUAAACACACCAUUUGGGAGGGGUAAAGAGCCUUAACUGUGACUACACCCCGAAUCCGAAUUAGUCGGGGCCCAAUGCGGUUGCCGGAAAUCGGAUGGUUUAAACCAAAAAAAAAGACAAAAGAAGGGGUACCAAACCCCAUAGGUAUAGUAGCUGGACCCAUAUGCAUAUAUGUUUAAAUCAGAAAAUAUUUUCAUAAUUAAAAAUAAGUAUCGGACGCGGUUUUGUUUGAUCCACUAAUCCAUUCUUUUGCGGAAAAGAUCCCGCAGUCAAGCCACUAAAUUACGCUCACAAUUUCGAUAGUGGAAGUCAAUGGACCAAUUUGCUGCUGCAUAAACGUCAGCCCUAAAUUCACGAAAAGAAAAUCUAAUAAAAUAGACCCACUUAUGCCUUGCGACUUUUUCUUUUUUUCUUUGGGUGAAAAUAAACAAAAUCUUAUCAUCAAUAAAUAUAUUAUAAUAUGAGGUUUUGGUAACUCUAGAAAGAUUAGACUAACUUAAAAAUUUACUUCCCAUUAAUUAAACAACACCAAUUCCAUAUUUUGUGGGGGAAAAAAAAAAAAAACUCCACGAAAGUUCAAUCGAGCUAGUGAGCUUAUACCAUCCCACCGUUGAUACAAUUGGGUCCUUAAUUAGAUUAAAUUGCAAAGAGGGUCCUACCCUUUAUCGUUUUUUUCUUUAUGUGUGUGUGUGUGUGGGUGGGUGUGUGUGUGUGUGUAUAUAUAUAUAUAUAUAUAUAUAAAUAGCUUAAUCAUUUUAAACUUUAGGGCCCCCUCGAAGGGAGAUUCAUCAACUAGAGUGGGUUACAGUGAAGGUACUUCUGGUCUUUUCUCACGUGUCGAUGAUCUGGAUUUCAUACAUUAUAUCUUCCCUAAGUAUAUACGGAUUUCAUUUUAUGUUUAUCUAAAGUUUCAAUCUUUUCGUGAACAACUAUGGGAUCCACUUAAAAGUUGAGCAAUUCUUUUCAAAGAAAAUAGUAUAAAGUUGAAAGGACUACCCACAAUUUCUUCUUGAUCUGAAUUUUUCACGUUGAUAAUUAGUAGGUAAUCCCUAUCUUAUAUGCAUGUAAGAUACAUCCCCCUCACAUGAACAGUAUAUGUGUGGGGCUCACGCAUUGUUCAUGUGAGAGGGAUGUAUCUUACAUGCAUAUAAGAUAGAGGGAUCCUAAUUAGUAUUAUGGCCCAAUGUCAACCCAAAGUGAGCAUUAAUUUAAAGUCAAGAAUAUUAAAAGUGGGAAGGUAAGAAGAAAGAAAUCGAGGCAAACUCAAUGAUUAUAUAUACUGUUGAUUAGAAAUGAAGUGCUUUAUUUUUUUAUUAAUUAUUAUUAUUUUUUGUCGAUGAUUAUAUACAAGAGAGACUAUUUUAUUAAGGGAUAUUAUCAUUCAUAUACCCUAUAGAUGCCAUGUUAUCAAAAAUACUACAACACUUUAAGGGUAUAUCAAUCGUCCACCCUAAAUUGACAAAAGUUAUCUGCCAACCACCAAACCGUUAGCUGCCGUUUGAAAGUUAACGGAAUUAUAGUGAAUUGACGAUUUUACCCUUGAAAAUUAUCACUCGUAUACCCUUAAAUUCUUUUAUUAUCACUUGUAUACCCUUAAAUUAUCACUUGUAUCAUAUGAAAAGACCAAAUUACCCCUAUGGUGUCAUCCUAUUUAAACGGCAAGUAACAGUUUGGUGGACGACAAAUACAUUUUGUCAACUUAGGGUGGACGAUUGAUAUACCCUCAAAGUGUUGUAGUAUUUUUGAUAACAGAGCAUCUAUAGGGUAUACGAAUGAUAAUUUUCCUUUCAUUAACAAAUAUGUCUUCUUUCUUUAAUUAAUAUUUCCAAGAUAAUUUAUUUCUUUAGUAGUAUUCUUAUUUAAAUAAUAAAUAAUUUUUUUCUUUGGAAUUGGCUUAUUCAAGGAGAAUACAGUCAAUAUAAGAAAAAAAUUAAUUCUCCUACAAGAAUUAAUCACUACAUAUACGUUGAGUUCAUUUAUUUACGUAACAUACCAUAGGUCUAUUAAGAAAUUAUAUGUUAUUGGUGUUUGGUAUGAGAAAAAUACUCACAUAGUAGAUUUUUUUAAUAUAUGAGUUUUUCACAUAAAUUCUUGUGUUGUGCAAUUGUUUUAUUUUUUUAAUUUAUUAUUUAUUUGCUUAUAACAUCUUGGGUGAUUUUAAAAAUUUCCUAACAAUUUUAUUAUGUUUACACUAUAUAUACCAUAACUGAAGUGCAAUUGCUUUUAUUCUCCAUUUAUUUUCUGUUUAUUAUUUAUUUAUUUGUAAGAUCUUAGCUGGGAUUAAAAAUUUCCUUACAAUUUUAUCAUGUUUGCAAUAUAUGUAUCAUAAGUGAAGUCCAAAAACUGGGGUUGCUAUUGUUUUCAAUUACUUUGGACACGGUUUUAGAAUUUAGAAUCAAGAAUUAUGCCCAUAAUGAGAAUUUUUUUUUUCCCCUUUUUGGGGAUAAAGAUAAACAAUCCAUAUGAAGAGGAGAAGCGAAUGAUAGGAGCAAGAAGGAACAGUACAGCGAGGCAGUCAUGUGAAUUGAUUGGUGGAUUUUAUCUUUUGUAGGCAACGAGUGAGGCUGGAAUUUUUGUAAUCUUGUUCAUCCGUGAUCCUGCUUUCCCCUUCAUGAUGUGAUUUGUCGGCCUUUCUCUCUUUCUCUUCCUCUAUAACCGACCUUCUAUCUCCCCUCUCUCGAUCAACUGCACCUCCUUUAUCAAAUAAUGUACAUAAUUUUAGACUGUGACAACACACAAAAAUGUUACAAAAUGAGCCUUCAAUUAGCUACAUAAAUAUUACUAUAGUUCAGUCAUCCAUGAUUGCUAAUAUCUCUGUUGAGUUAAUUAGUUUGCUAAUAUCCAUGAUUAUUUUAGUUCAGUCAUCCAUGAUUAUUUUAGCAAAACGAUGUGAAAAAUAAUUAGCUGUUUUCCAAACCAAACUAAGUAUUUAGUAAAUGCACUGGUCGCUAAUAGUAGUUAUUAUAAUCUUAGAGGUAAAUUUUGUGAAGAAAAAGUUAUUAUUGUAAAAUAAAUAUUGACAGUGUAUGUUAAAUAAUAUUUUUAAAUAAAUAUAACAAAGAGAUUAUAUAAGUUUUUGAUCAUAUAUAAGUAUCAGAUAAAAUUAAUUUAAUUUUUAAACUACAACAAUUAAUUUUUACUAAAUAUUUUAAUUAACGCGAUAUCUUGUAAGCUACGUAUACGCCAACACAAAAAGAAAUAAGAAAUGGGGCCGUAGUGAACAUGAGAAAAAGAUGAAUUCAGAAGAGAAUGAGCCAAUAAAACUCAUCAGUCUACCUCUACUCUGGAAGUCGCAUUAUCUGUAUAAGCAGACAGGGCGCUUAUUAAUUGGCUUUUUGUCGUGUGCAGUGUCUGCUUAGUGUUUCAUUUUAUAUACCAGAGGAUCAAAUGGCUGAGGUUUGCUCAACAGAACUAAUGGCCAGGAGCAAAACUCUCUCUGGUACGAUAUCUCAUGUGGGUUACGAUCCGGUGGUCGUGGCUUGUUCAAGAUCUUGUUAUUAGAUAAAAGUACACCCAUACCAAGAUACCAUGUUCAACUCUUUUUUUUCCUUUUAAUAAAGAAUUUGUGUAGUGCAAUAAUAACAUAUGGGCACAUGGAGAUAUCAUUUUCUUAAUUAUUUUUAAGUCUAUCAUCAUCCGGAUUCAUGCACGCAGGCCAAAUUGUAAGAAGUGAUAAGAUGAAGCAGGCACGAGGCAGGUCCUUGCCUCUCCGAUAUUGUGCGGUUUGUCAUUAGAGAUCUAGUCAUUUUUCAGACCAGCCAAAUAUGGAUCCGAUGCUUAUACAGAAGAAUAUUUGGUCAUUGUGUUACACUGAAAGGCAUAUGGGAAUGGUUUUAACUCAAGCUUCGUUCGUGAUUCUAGACUCCCCCUGCCAUGUCCCAUCUAUUUUCUAUUCUCAUUUGUAGAAAAAAAUAAUAAUAAUAUUUUGUCAUUGAUAAAUUAUCCAAAUUAAUUAUGUUACACAUCCUUCUUUUUGUGGGAUUAUGAUAGGGAUGGCAAUGAGAGCCCGUCCCACUAGAGCAUGUUUUAUAAAUACUUGAGCUUCAUCUACAAAGUCUGACUUUGAUCCAAAAAUUUGAGAAAUAUUUACAGUAAAAAAAAAAAUUGUAAAAAUAUUUAUUAUUUUAAUUGAAAUACACUUUUUUAUGUAUACUUUAUCCACCCGUAACAUCUAUUUAUAGUUUUAAAUCCUAUAAGCCCAACUUUUAAAGCAUAAUCCCACAAAAAAUAAAAUUUUAUAAAUUAUAAAUUUAUAAAAUAAAAUAUAAAAAAUGUACAAUGUACAAUUAAGACAUUUUAACCCCUAAGCGCGUGGUUAGGUUGAUUGCAGUGCAGCUGCAGCCUCUACCAAAACCUGAGUUUAAUUUUUAGGGGUGAUAAGAGGGUAAAAACUUAUAUUUGAGCUUGCUCACCCCCCUUACCUUAAAAAAAAAAUCCAGACAUUUUAAUUUGGUCUGAAAAAAGUCCAACUCAUAUAUUUUGAGAUUAUCAUUGAAAAUAAUUUUUUUUUUUUGGAGGAUUCUUGCCUCAUUAAUUAGAGACCCACACUUUGCUUUGAAUAAUAAAAAAUUACAAAUCAUUACAAUUAUAUACAUAGGAUAUAGCUGGGAGUCGAAGCUUAACAAAUUAAGGUGAAAUAUACUGGUGCUUAUAAAUAGCGAAUCCAUUCUCCCAUAACCGAACAAACAUAUAUUACCACUCGAGCAUUGAAUGACAAAAAUGGAUAAUUAGGAAGGGAGGAUAACAUUACAAAGGCGACUCUUUAUCUCUUAAUAUUGAAAUAUGAACCAUCAAAUCAAGUAAAUAGAAGGGUUAUUUUCUUUUCUUUUUUAAAAUUAUCAUAGUACAAUUUACUGAAUAAAACUUCAGCGACUUAAGGUUAUGUUUGAGGGUUAGGAUUAAGUGUGGGAUUAGAUUAGUUUUAGGAUUAAAUAUUCUAUUGUAUGUUUGGCAACUUUGCUUGGAUUGAAUUAGUAGUGACUAAAUUUAAAUUCAGUCCUUAAUUCAUGGGAUUAACAAUUCCAAUUUAUAAGCGGGUUUAGAUGAGAUUAGAAUAAGAGAAAAAAAAAUUAUUCAUUUACAAAUUUC